UACGCCAAGAUGCAAUAUUGUGUUUCAUGCGCUAUCCACUCACACGUUGUGAGAGUCCGAUCCCGCACCAACCGUAAGGUUCGUACCCCACCUCCUCGUUUUGCUAGACGCAAGGAGGAUACUCCCAAGCCGGGACAACCUGGUCAGCCCCCUCGCCCUGCUGGUGGUGCCCCUGCUGCUCCUCGUGCUUAAAAGACUGCAAGAAGCUGGCAACUCAAACACCUUUAUAUUAUAGUUUCAGUCUCUUCUUUGUCCGAAAAUUUUGAACAUGUUUUCUUCAUUUGGUUAAAGAUGAUUUUUGUCAUGUGGAGCUUUGAAUGCUUUGAUAUUAUUUCAGUUCAUUUUGACAUUAGCAUUUUCUCUCUUAUCCAAUUCACUUGCAAAUGAAUACCUCUUUCAAGAGAUAUUUAUGAAUACCCUACCAGGUUACCACUGAAAAAAAAAAAACUAUAGCUAAAAGUAAAUAUUCGAAGAUAUCCCAAAAUAUAUAAAACACGAGAAAUACUCUAAAUACAUACUAGUUAUCCAUCCAAAUAUCUAAAUUAGACUAAUUAUCAUGCUAAUUUUAGAUAUUUAGAAUUCAAUAUUCAAAUUUAAAUACAUACUAGUUCUCCAUUCAAAUAUCUAAAUACAUACUAAUUCUCCAUCCAAAUAUUAAUUAGUUUUAGAUAUAAUAUCCUAACAAUAUUUCUUCUUUAGAUUUUAAGGUAUAUUAGGAUUUUUGAAUUUGUUUACAUAAUCUAAAUGGAUAUAUUCGAAUCUGCAAAAGAUCUAACCGAACCCAAACCAAAAUUUAUAAAUAUCCGAAAGGAAUGAAAUCUUUAACACUGAAAAGCUGAAACCGAAUAAACUCGGAACGAACCGAACGGGUACCCGAUACAACCCCUAUGUAUACCAAUUAAAACAUUUAUUUAUGUUAGUUGACUCUGUGUUUUCUUAUGAAAAAUAUUAAAUACUAAUUACAAGCCAAAGAUCUCUUGAAUAUUUCAAAUUUUUAAAUCACAAUUAUAAACACCCUUUUUGUCAACCUAUUCUCAGUUACUAGCUUCCUGGCACAAGGAACAUUAUAUGCAACCUAAAAAUCUCCGCAAGUAUUAUAAUUAAAGUCAAUUGUCAAUGGAACAACUACCAAGUCUCAAAAUGGCUCACCUCCAAAAACUUUAAGUAAAUAUAAUUAGAAGUAAACAGACAAAGAUUAUUGCUUCUUUUAGAAAACCAAACGAGAAGGCGAUGACUCCUCUGAAGAUUAUGGACAUAGUGAUUGGAGUAAUAUUCUUGAUAAUAUUCAUCUUAUGUCUCUUCUACUAUCGUUACCGCAAGACAAAGAACGAUGGUCGGAAAGAGAGCACCACCGGCUGCUCCUGAAGUGGAAGCAACGCCGCGGCUGCCACAGCACGGCUUCUCACUUUAACGAUUGAAUUAAUUCUCUCUUUUUCUCUGUCGGUUCUUUUAAACAUUUUGUGACUUUAUAUUUUUGUUUUUGGAUAUGAAAGAGUUAUGAUUUAGGUCUGUUUGUGCGAGUUGUAGAGAUGCAAACGUAUAUAUCUGCAUGAAUCAACAUUUUGGUUCUGUUGGCUUUAUUCUCUCUGUUUGUAAUGCAACAAUGUUAAUCAAUGGUAUCUCUGUACGAAAGGACGGAUUAUUAUUAUAAUAUAUAUUUUUUAUCAACUUAAAUUUAUUAAUUAUAGUGUUAAAAGGUAAUACAAAUACAUACAUAAUUCAUAUGAAAAUAAAAACAACAACAACAACAAAUAGAAGACAACAAUAGAUCAAGUGAAAUCUUCCUGGAUACACUUCUUCAAAUGUCUUCUUUUCUAAUAGUGUCUACUCUAAUAAUUUCCUUGGGGGCUUUAAAUCUUUGUCUCAUCAUUGAUACCAAUUUCAUUUGUUGUAUUACGUUGAGCCUAUCCCAGAUCAGAGCUAUAAAUAUUGGCUUUUGUGUUUGAUGAGAAAUGCCUUGAGUGAGGCAUUCUUGAUGCUUAAAGAGGCUCUAGUGACCGCCCCCAUAGUCCAACCACCGGAUUGGAAUUCUUUGAUUCUGAGUUCUGAGAUUGUUAGUUCUGGGACUGAGAGUGCCAGGCUGCGACCCAUCUUUGCUCGAGUCACUUUCGUCCCUUCCUUUCUUCAUUUGUUUUUUGGUUGGUCAAGGUAGUUGCCUAUCUUAGCUCAGUUGGUUUUUUCGGUAUAGAAUCCAAUGUAUUGAUUCAACCAUGAAAACUAAAAUCUGAGAUAGUCAACUUUUAACGAUUGUAAGCAUAUACAACAAAGAAAAUAUAUCUUUCAUUCUGUUUUUUCUGUGGUGGUUUCCAUGGUUUCAACCGUCCAAUCAACAUUUGACAAUAUUUUGUCAAACGAACAUCGCAAUGGAAUUUAUCCACCUUAACAUCGUGAUAGAAUUCUAGUAACAUGAUAUAUAUGUGAUAAACCCAACGUGCUGUUGAUGAUGUUUCAACCGAAUUGUGAAUACCCAAAUUCUGGUCAAGAAUCAUCAUCAUCAAGACUUGAUCCUUCACAUGCUUGGUGAGAAGAAAAAGAAAUAUAAAGGUACUACAGAUGCGUUUGUGUAUAAGAGCCAUUAUAAUGGCCAUUGACAACAUCACGAUCAUCUUACAGGAAGGCAAUCACAACUUUGAUGCCUUAACCAGAGCAAGAAGUCGAUCAAUUGAAAAGGGAAGGCAAUCGCAUCUUUGAUCGCCCACUAACAGCCCCUAACCCCUCAUUUUCGACGCUUAUCAAUUAUUAUUAUAACUAGUAUUACCUCCCGUGCGACAUUAUACUUUUCUUAUUAUUAUAUAACAUAUAUUACAAAAUUACUGUGAAUAAUAAUGUUAUUUGAGUACACUUAUAAAAUCUUUUUUUGAGAGCAAUUCUUUCUGAUAGACCUUUUAAGUUUUUGUCACAAAAAUAGCACUCAAAAAAAAAAAACCAAAAUAGCCUCUUUUAUUUUGAAUUUUUUAAUUUUUAAUUUUUAUUUUUUAAAAUUUGAAACCAUAUCCCUAAAAUCUCACCCAUUAACUCUAAACCCUAAGUAUAGAUUAGUUAACCCUUAGGGUAAAAGUACAUUUUUACCUUUUUAAAAAAAAAUUAUUUUGGUCAUUUUAUUCUUUGAAGAAUAUUUUUGUGACAAAAACUUAAAAAUGACUAUCUUAGAAAAUUUAUAUAUUUAUAAUUUAUAUUAGCCCAAUAUGGAUCCUAAAUGCACGUAAAAUAUUGAUCUCUUAAUCCAAAAUCCAAAACACUAAAUAUGAAAAUGGGGGAAACACAUAUAUCUAGCACAAAUACAAUUAAGAUAUUAACUCUAAAUUUUGUAGAUAAUUGACGUCUCUUUGCUCUUUUCCUAUAUAUAUUUUUGUUUUCUAUCUUGCUUUAUUAUUUUCGUUUUCAUUUUCAAUGCUUUUUAUCCUAAAGUUUUUGUUUCUGAGAAAAUCUACAAAAACAUAUGUUGAUCAAAAAAAUAAUACCACCAUACAAAAAUAAGAAGACCAACCUGAAGUUAGAUCUUGAUACAGAGGUAGACAUGAGUCCUCGUUUAUUCUACCACUCGAUUUUCUUAAUCCUCAUUUUCUAUCUUCUUGUUAUCACAACAUUUUGUUUUUUCUUGAGGUGCUUCUUAAGUUGAUCUUCUUACUUCUCUUCCUUGAAUUACCAUGACCACAACCAAGAAUCAUGUGCCAGCAUAUUGAAAACCAAUUUAGUCUUUUAAAAACAGAAUUGACCUAAUUUAUUGGAUUUACCUUUUACUGCAUAGAAGUAUGUAGAUUUUGCCAAUAUCUAGAAAGCAAAAGAAAAAAAUUAUAAUUAUAAAUAGGCUAGAGGAGAAAAAGAUUCAUAAACAACGAAACAUGAAACAAACUACGAUUUGACUCUAGUGGGGGAGUUAUUAGCCUCACUAACCAGGAAAUUAUCAAUUUUGCGGGAAGCUUUGCUAUAGAAAUUUUUUGUUUUUUUUAUUUGUAUCCAGCAGAGCCGAGAGUGUUAAUACAAUCGUCAGAAAUUAAAAAAAAUUGAAAUUUCAACACUUUCACGAAAGAUAGAGAAUCAGUGGAGCCACUCCAAAUAAUUAGGAAAAUGCAGGAAGAGAUGAAUUUGAAUUUUACAGAAUCGUCUUCUAUUAAAAAAAAAUCAACUGUUUCAAAGAUCGUGAAGAGAUCAUGGUGUUAGAAAUAUUAAGGAUUUUUAAUUUAAAUCAAAAGUAAAUAGAAUCAGUUAAAAACGGAGCUGUUUUUUUUUACAUUUAAAUUUUAUUUUCUGCAUUUGUUUUUUUUUAAUUGUAUUGCCAUGUGUUUAAAUUUGAUUGGUCAUGUGACUUGUGCUUUAGUAUAUAAGGGAUGAUAGAACAUUUUUGGGACAUUUUUGUAAUAGCUGUCAACUAUCGGCUAUCGCCUUACGGGUGACGUCGGUGCAUAGACAAUGGCCAAAUUACUCAUCGUUUGAUUUUAUUUUUGUAAGGAGGUGAAAAACAAAAUGACGUCAGAGUGGGUCCCACGUUUUAAAUCCACGCGCUUUGUUUGUCCUAACUAUAUUUUUUUUGUUUUUUGGUUGGUUCAAGUCUCACCAGAAGGACUUUUCUAAUUAAUGGGACACAGGCAGGCAUGCAUGCAGAGUGGCCUUUUUGUUUUAAAUGGUUCCAACGGUACUGUGAUUAACUACGACGCGUUUCAGCUGCUGGCUAUGUUACGAGGGAACCAUUUAAAGCCAAAUUCAAAGGAAAAUGCGACACGUGUACAUGAUAUUAAUGUUACUCCUAGCACUUUAGAGCAGUUUAAUUUAAUCUCAUUUAAUUAGGCUUUAGUUAGGCUACCACAAUAACAACUCCCUCGGUAAAAUAUUGAAAUUCUGUUGACCUUCGAGGCCUUUAAGACAUCAACGAGACAGAUGAUCUUUUGCUGGCAAACAUUUUGUUGAAAGCAUUUACCUUUUGUCUAUUAUAUUUUUGCUAAAACAUAAAAAUAAUCGUAUUCUACGUUAGAGCUUCUCUGCAUUUUCACCUAUAUCCAACGAACGUUACGUAAGGCGUAAUUGUCAUAUUCUGCUACUUCACACAAACUAUUGUUUAUACGGAACCCGUGAUCAAUUUUCUUGGUGUUACCACGUUAAAAGACUUUUGCUUAACGAUGAUAUUACGUUAUUAGUUUCCGACUCCCUGAUGAUGCAUGCAUUAGCGAACUAGUCUCGUCCAUGCUUAAAAUGCAUAGAAUUACAACUUUUGUGGAAAUAAACAAUCAGUUAACUCAUCUUUUCGCUUCAAACCUAGUGCACCAAAUUUUGCAAAAUCAUAAUAAGUUGCCUUAUAAUGUUUAUCUAACCUAACAUCCUCAUGACAAGAUCAUUGUGCAUGUUGCAGACAACACGUACGAGCGUCGAGCAGCGGUAACGAGUAUCCAUUUAUCAUUAUAAUCAAAAAUCGGUUAUUGUUGCAUCUUGUCUAAUUGUUGCAUCUUCUUAUGAAAUUAGAAAUUAAAGAUGAAAAUACAGAUAAUAAAAUAAUAAAUAAAUAUGAAAUUUGGUUAUAUUUAGUGCUAAGGAGUAAUGACCAUUCUUAAUUGGAAAUUGUCAUAUGUUGGUGUGUAUUUAAAAUUUUAAUGUUAUAUGUACUGCUCUAUAUGCUCGUAUCAUUUAUGUAUAUGCAGCAGCAGUAUAACAUGUAUGGAAUAUAAUGUAUAUACAUGCUUUUCUACUUCGUGUUGUAUAAUGACGUAAUUGUUCUCUAGUGAAAAAUAGAUAAUUAACAUUCAAGCCAAACUAACAUUAUUAUUCUUGUUUAAUAUUACUCAAAACAACAUAUGGAUACCACACAUACAGACGUACACAAAACACCAUUCAUAUAAGUUGAUAUGACAACAACACAAAUACGUCUGCAAUCCAUGUGUGGUUAUAAAUAUAUACGAUAUUAGUUUAAUCAGUCUUCCUAACCGUAAUUGUAUUGGUCCAGCAUUUAAAAUUCUAGUCAUUUUUGAAUUUGAAUUGAAUUGUGUAAAUAUCUCAGAUUUUCAAUCAACGUUUGAGUGAAGAUAAGUUUAAAUUAGCAAGUUAAUUCGGUCUAGUUGCUUUCUACAUUUGUUUGAAACAUUAAAGAAGAUAAGUUUAAAUUAGAAGUUAGAUUGGCAGCUCAAGUUAUUUAAUUAAGAAAGGAACAUGUAAUCUAUAAAAAAGUAUGGUUCUACAGAGAUAAUGCUUAUUAAUUAUUCGGAGCCAGCAUUUGGAGCCAGCAUUCAUAUAACUAAGACGUGUUCGGCUUUUUGUAGUAAUAGGGUUUCGUUUAGAUAUGUUUUCACGUUAAUAUAUAUACAUACGAAGAUGUUGACUUGCUUGGUCCAAUUUCGAUUUGUAUAUUGUAUACAAAAUCACCAAAUAGUAUGCACAGCUAGAAUAUUACUUUCCGGCAUAGUUUAACGUAGCAUAUAUUAAAAAAAAAUCGAGCUAGUUGCGUGAACGAAUACGAAAGUUUGAUAAACCAGCUAUGCAGCUUUUGUUUUUGGGCCAAAUAUAUUUGUAGGAAGGAAUUGUACACAUAGAUUAAGAAAUCAUUAAUUUUUUAUAUUUUCUAAACAAAAACAUCAUUAAUUAUUUACCUAACUACAAAUCAACCAAUAAUAAAAUAAAAAGUAUAUUAUCAUUGGUCAUAUAACAUUAAGUGUUAAUAAAUUUUAUAUAAAAACUAAAAACGUCUAAUAAUUUAGAACAUAAAAAUUUCUCUAAAAUUAUGAAAGGGAGGGAGUGUUUUUACGAUGCAUCACUUUCCAGCCAAGCCCGGGCUUAGACUUAAGGACCAAACACUUUUAUCAAGGCCCACUCUAAUAAAAACCUAAAACGGCACGCAGUGCGUGCAUAUAUAUAUAAGGAUCAAUUAUAGGGUUAAUUUUCCGCCUGUCGCCGGAACGAAGAAAAGAAGAGAUCGCACUAGAGGCUUGAAACUCUCUGCUUGCAGCAUGGCAAGUCUUCCUGUUCUUUGAUAGAUUAAUCGUUUAGGAACGCAGUAACAAGCUCGCAUUGGGUAAGAAUCCGUGGUUUGUAUAUUUGUGCAGACUUUCAAGCGUAGAAACGGUGGCAGGAACAAGCACAACCGUGGUCAUGUGAACCCCAUUAGGUGUUCCAACUGCGGGAAAUGCUGCCCCAAGGUUGGUUCCAUCUCUUGUUGAUUCGUUCUCCGAAGCUAGAUUUGUCUGAAAGUUUGAUCUAAUGUUCAGUUCCAUCUGUUUAUAGGAUAAGGCAAUUAAGAGAUUCCUUGUCAGGAACAUUGUUGAACAAGCAGCUAUCAGAGAUGUUCAAGAAGCCAGUGUUUACGAUGGUAUGUUGUUGAAUAGCUUUCAUUUUUCACUUACCCUGUGUUUUAGAUUGUCGUUGAAUUAAUGUGAUUUGUCUUUGUAUUGUUAGGUUACACUCUCCCAAAGUUGUACGCCAAGAUGCAAUAUUGUGUUUCAUGCGCUAUCCACUCACACGUUGUGAGAGUCCGAUCCCGCACCAACCGUAGGGUUCGUACCCCACCUCCUCGUUUUGCUAGACGCAAGGUAACCUCCAAACACGAUUAAACAUUCAGUUCUGAUAAUAUCAGUAAUUAGAUCAAAAUGUGUCUGUUUUGCUUUUUAUUAUGGUUAGAAUUAUUUGUAUCGUUGAAGCUUCUAUGUUAAACUUAGUAGUUUUGAAAAUGAUGGAUUUUCAGGAGGAUACUCCCAAGCCGGGACAACCUGGUCAGCCCCCUCGCCCUGCUGGUGGUGCCCCUGCUGCUCCUCGUGCUUAAAAGACUGCAAGAAGCUGGCAACUCAAACACCUUUAUAUUAUAGUUUCAGUCUCUUCUUUGUCCGAAAAUUUUGAACAUGUUUUCUUCAUUUGGUUAAAGAUG
rnacentral:lncRNA from 1 species